UGACGCGCGCUCCGGGGUUCACCGCGCCAGCAGGGGUGGAUGGGUCCUCACGUGUCAUAUUCGAGAGGAUAAGGAUGGCAAAAGCUGUCAUUGACUCGGUACCUUCGAUGGAGUGGGACAUGUGUUGUUCUCUGCACGUGUUCCCUUAUUCCCGAGGGCUGGCUGCUUCUCGAACCAUGAAUUUUGUCUCACGGCCUCCCGAUUCCUUGUGUCAAAAACAUUCCGCAACAGCUCUGAGUGCUACGAACCCGGCUGGGUCAUCUGCUGCUGCUGGCUUCCAGGUCUGCACAUCUGUGACUCAUCAUUUAAAACUAGGCCCUAGUUCAUUUAUGUAACAGUUCUUCUACCCUAUUUUGCUCAUCAACCUGUUCGUACUUCCCAUCACUUUUUUUUCUGUUUGUUCAUCUUAGACAUUGUUCCGAACAUUUUCAUACUGGAAGGCUGGUGAUGUCCCAAGACAGUGAGAGUGUAGUUUUCUACUGCCUAAUAUUUGGUAAGGCUCAUAAAGCAUGUCGAUGAAAAGAGACAAAAGAAUGACUGUAGCAUGGUGCAGUGACAGACAGCUGGCAGGAUCUGUGUACAUACUAUGUUUGUGCCCCAUUUCAUCUGAGGCCUUUGGAGGAAGCUGAAAAUGCACAUAGUUUGAUAAUCUCCAACUGUCUUUCUGUGCAUGAACUCAAGAGCUGGAACUGAGUUACAAAGGAUGCGAAGCUGGUUCCCAGCAUUUGGCAGCCAGUUCUCAGGGGUCUGCAUCCAGGAUUUUAGAUGAUGUUCACCUUUUCAUGAGUAAACUUACCCAGGGUAGCUGAAAUCACAGCUCUGGGUAUUCUAACACCAGCUUGUCACAUCAUUGAGCAUGGCUACUUAAGGGUGGAAGAUAAGACCUAUAUAUCCUUCAGCAGGUACGGGGGAUGGCUCCAACGGACGACAUCUUUGACUUUGAAGAGACCAAUCUGACCACUGUAGAGUAGCCUCAGGCUCCAAGUGAAUGCCUCAAUGCAGCCAAACUUGCUCAACAUCCAAAAGAGGCCACAGAUGGUAUCUACUGCUUCUGUAAGGUUGAAGAAUACAGUGUAGAGAUCCUGAUGUUAA